rnacentral:rRNA from 1 species
UACCAUGCAAGUCGAGCGGCAGCGGGAAAGUAGCUUGCUACUUUUGCCGGCGAGCGGCGGACGGGUGAGUAAUGCCUGGGAAAUUGCCCAGUCGAGGGGGAUAACAGUUGGAAACGACUGCUAAUACCGCAUACGCCCUACGGGGGAAAGCAGGGGACCUUCGGGCCUUGCGCGAUUGGAUAUGCCCAGGUGGGAUUAGCUAGUUGGUGAGGUAAUGGCUCACCAAGGCGACGAUCCCUAGCUGGUCUGAGAGGAUGAUCAGCCACACUGGAACUGAGACACGGUCCAGACUCCUACGGGAGGCAGCAGUGGGGAAUAUUGCACAAUGGGGGAAACCCUGAUGCAGCCAUGCCGCGUGUGUGAAGAAGGCCUUCGGGUUGUAAAGCACUUUCAGCGAGGAGGAAAGGU